rnacentral:rRNA from 1 species
UAAUAUCAUCCACGCUUGACGGUACCACCGGAGGAAGCACCGGCUAACUACGUGCCAGCAGCCGCGGUAAUACGUAGGGUGCAAGCGUUAUCCGGAAUUAUUGGGCGUAAAGCGUUCGUAGGUGGUUUUAUAAGUCUAUGGUUAAAUCCGGUCGCUCAACGAUCGAAUCGCUGUAGAAACUAUUUAACUAGAGGAUGGCAGGGGCAACUGGAAUUCCACAUGUAGGGGUAAAAUCCGU